AGCCCGGCCUCGGGGGCCGAGCAGGCCGCGGGGCAGCCGAAGCCGCCCCCACUUACCAGCCCGACUCGGAGAGCGCCGCCCUCGUCCUGUCAGCCAUGGCGCCUCCUGCCGCCGCUCCCCCACCGCGCUCGGGGCCGCCGGGGCGGAGCGGUGGGGCCGGGCAGACGCGGGGCCGCCGGGUGCUGCAAGGAGCCCCAGCGCUCGGAGGAGGGACGCGGGGCCCACUCGCUCCCCCGCCCCUCAGCCCUCUCCGGGCACUUGGCCCGGCUACCUCUACGGCGGGGGAAGGGAGCCGAGGGCAGGAAGGGGCGGAGGCGGCCCAGGCAUAGACGAACAAAACCCGCGACCGGCUGUUACGGUACUGUGGGAGACGGUAGGAGAGGACGUUUUGCCGCGUCUCGGGAAGCCGCUGCAGCCAUGGCGGAGAAGGGAAAAACAUUAAAGGCAACUGACAUAAGGUGAACGUCAGCGGGUCGGAAGUUAUGAAGAUGCGUUCCUGAGCCUUGGCACUCCGCUUGCAGGUGAGGGCAGCGGCCUUCCAGAAGACAUCCAAGGAUUUGCAUUACAAAGAAUGACUAGAUCCUGUGAUUUCUUCACCAAAUCCACAAAGUGUACACCGCAUCAUGCAGUGACUGAGGGCAGCAGCCCCUCCUCUGGAGCACCAGGUAGUGAGAUAUGUGUAAAGAUGUGCCUACAAUGCAGUUCUUCUAGACUGCUGCCCAUGUCAAAGGGCAGUAUGACAAAGUAUGACAAAGAGGUUGUUUCCACAAUGCUCUGUAAUGGUAAGUACCUAAAAUGUUUGAUCUACUUGAGCACCUCCAUUAGGUCACUUGUGAGGCAGACGACAGACAGAACUAGCACACAUGACGAAACAGCAAAAGCCAGGUUUUGCAGCUGCCCUGCAGGUUCCCACCCAUGGAUUGAUUCAUCCAUGUAGCCUUGUAGUCUCCUGCCAACCCCAACCCUGACCAUUCCAGACCCACUACAUUCAGCAAUGAGCUCACAGAACUGGGGGGCUGAAGCUGUUGACUGCGCCUGCCAGAAACAGGCAAGAGCAGGAACCUGUAGAAGUCAUUGUGAGUCACAGCACCGUGCACCCCAGCCUGGUGUGCCGAAACAAGCAACCGUGAGACAGAGACCCUGAAAACCAGGUUUGGUGCAAGGUCACCACGAGGACAAGAAUGCCAUUUUGGUCUCAAUUUUCAUUUCCUCUUCUGUAGAAUGGGCUUUCUUCAUUACAUUAUCUGAAGGUAACAUGCCCUCUUACCAAAAUGCAAGAGCAUUGCAUCGCAUUGCAAAUGUUUUCUCUGUUUUGUCUGAAGGGUUUUUGUCCUUAUCCUUCUUCUAUCAUGAACUUCUCUAAACUGCAAAGAGCAAAGACAGCUGAUUACUACUAGUCCUUCACACUAGGGAGGUGUUUGCUGGAGGUGAAGGAAAAAGCCUGACCAGUUGGGUCUCAAGGCAAUCAAGCGACUGUCAUCUGUUACAGCAACUGGAAAAGGAAUCGACUUUUCACAGAGUGAAGGGAAAAUUACAGAGGAGCUGCAUUGAAGCUCAGGCCUUCAUCCUUGAGACUUGCCUAAGGUAUGCCUGUGCCUGGCCAUGUGCCUUGCUGAUCCUGAACCACUGAUUUGACUUACUGGCUUGUUCUUGCACCUGCUUCAUCACUGCCUACAUGUCUAGUCCAUCUAGUCAGGGAACUGACCCUGCUCAGGUGCUGUGGGAUUGUGGCUGCCUGGCUGAGAUCAUUGCCCUACCUGCCUUGCUGUUGCCUUCAGCUCCUGGAUUCCUCCCUUGCACGACAGCCUGUGAUUUUUGCUUCCUGACACCUCUUGUCCCAGAACAAGGAUAAUGGUCUGUUAUAUCAAGAAGUUAGUGUCACAUUGACAGUCAGUUCAUGUCUGAAAUGGGCACACGUGAUGUAACAGAACAAAACACAGGAACAGUGGAGACACUGCUGAAGACCGACUGCCAUCCAUACAAUCACUUAAUGCACAAGGCAGCAACAGCACCCUCAGAUAGGAGAACAGGUAGGGAAUGCCUGGAGCUCUCUGCAGACUUCUGCUUUCCCUGCCUAUCAAGUUGAAUUCGUCAUAGUUUGUCUCAGAGAAAUUCAGGUUGAUACUGAUCGUCACUUCUGGGCAGAACUGCUCAUGAAGGAGCUGCCUGGUGAAAACAUGGCAUGUAUAUGAGCAGAAGAGUUAGGAAAAGCCCUUGGAGGGCCUUGCCAGGCUUGCCAAAGGCCUGUGGAAUAGCUGCCAUACAAGAGGGCACCUCACACAGUGUCAGGUAGCUCUCAGUGUGACAUAAAAUACCGUCAGCGUGGGCAUGGGUAAAAUGCCUUAGAGCAGCCUGUCCAGCCCCAUGGGUAUCCCUGUGGAAGCACAGCCCAUUCCUCUAGGGCAGGGCAGCAACACCCAAAGUACUGCAGCUGAUGGAAGGCCGUAGAUCAACCCAUCAGAGCAAUACGAGCAAAGACAUCAUCCUCCUGUAUAGUACACGAACAGAAUAUGACCUUAACUAUAAACAUAAAUUAGAUUGGAGAGCACAGCUGCACAGCAAGACAGUGACAGGUAGUCACUGAUUAUGCAGCAAUAUAUAUGGCUGUAUGGUAACUCUCUGUAUUGGUUCUGCUAUUAUUACUAUUAAAAGCCAUGAAGUUGUACUUUUCACACAAUCACAGGAGGCAUCAUCUCCAUAUGAACAGUUCGGGGCAUAAACGAUCCAGCGAUCUGUGUCAGCACUUGACUUAAUUGCAUGGUGGGACAAAAAAAGGCUGAAUAAAUAAAUAAAUAGAUAGUGUUUUCUCAUGGCAAACACAUAAAGAUUAUUUUUGGUUUAGAAAAGAUUCACUCUGCGAUUUUCCUCAAGAGCUGUUGUAUGUUUGUGCUUGAGGAAAAGCGAGUUAUUGGAAAUCCAUGCCAGGCUGCAGCUAAGCAGUUGACUUUCUGUCCAUGACUGAAUACACACCGAACAGGCAAGAAUGUUUCUGUGUUAUUUCCUGGCAGUGAAAAUAUACUGUGUCAUGUGUCUUUCCUAUUCAAAUAUGCCAGCUUUUACCUACCACUGCUUUUGCCCUGCAGUCUGCAGACUCAAACUGGUGCAGUUUUGAAAAAUAACUGAAUUUCCUAAGAACUUUCAAGAAGCACCAAAAUCAAUGCUUCCAACAAUUGAGUGCAGUAACUGAGCGUGCCAUUUGCUGACCUUCACUUAU